rnacentral:tRNA from 3 species
GGGCUCAUAGUAAAACGGUAUUACGCAGCAUUCGCAUUGCUGAAGUCCGGGUUCGAUUCCCGGUGAGUCCACCA